rnacentral:rRNA from 1 species
GUGGGGAAUCUUCCGCAAUGGACGAAAGUCUGAUGGAGCAACGCCGCGUGAGUGAAGAAGGUUUUCGGAUCGUAAAGCUCUUUCGUUAGGGACGAACGUGCUCUUUGUGAAUAAUGAGGAGUAAUGACGGUACCUAAAUAAGAAGCCACGGCUAACUACGUGCCAGCAGCCGCGGUAAUACGUAGGUGGCAAGCGUUGUCCGGAAUUAUUGGGCGUAAAGCGCGCGCAGGCGGGAUAUCAAGUCUGUCUUAAAAGUGCGAGGCUCAACCUCGUGAGGGGACAGAAACUGGUAUUCUUGAGUGUCGGAGAGGAAAGUGGAAUUCCAAGUGUAGCGGUGAAAUGCGUAGAGAUUUGGAAGAACACCAGUGGCGAAGGCGACUUUCUGGACGAUGUCUGACGCUGAGGCGCGAAAGCUAGGGGAGCGAACGGGAUUAGAAACCCCGGUAGUCC